rnacentral:tRNA from 1 species
UCCCUGGUAGCUCAGACGGUAAAGCGUCUGCCUAUAAUGCAGGAGACCUGGGUUCAAUCCCUGGGUUGGGAA